rnacentral:tRNA from 1 species
GAGGGUAUAGCUCAGUUGUAGAGCAUAUGCUUAGUGUGCACGAGGUCCUGGGUUCAACCCCCAGUACCUCCA